ACUUCUCAGAUCAUCACUACAGCGUUUGCAGCUUUCCAGCUCAUCAUGCUGAACUGAAGACAAGACGAGGGGAAAAUCAAGGGGCAUCCACAUUAAUCUGGAUAAAGGCUGCUUCUUCAGCCACAGCUAAGGUGCAUGUAAUAGGAAUGAGAGCCACCUGUGUUUCAGAAAGCGUCUGGGAUUUUAGAGCUGCUUGUAACUGCAGCCUAACACAGCCUCAGCCGACUGAUACAUCCAGUGUCGUCAAAACAGAGCAGUGAACCAAGCAGCCGGCUCAUUGUUUGAGAAACAGUUGUUUCAUGGGUGAAUUGACCUCAUCUUCGGCAGCCACCGGUUUGCUAAGCAUUUACUUUGAACAUUUCUAUGGCUGGAGUACAAUGGCACGAUCUCGGCUCACUGCAACCUCCGCCUCCCAGGUUCAAGCGAUUCUCCUGCCU
rnacentral:lncRNA from 10 species